AGUGAACGCUGGCGGUAGGCCUAACACAUGCAAGUCGAACGGCAGCACAGUAAUAGCUUGCUCUUACGGGUGGCGAGUGGCGGACGGGUGCGGAAUACAUCCUAAUCUACUUUUUCGUGGGGGUUAACGUAGGGAAACUUACGCUAAUACCCCAUACGACCUACGGGUGAAAGCAGGGGAUCUUCGGACCUUGCGCGAUUCAAUGAGCCGAUGUCGGAUUAGCUAGUUGGCGGGGUAAAGGCCCACCAAGGCGACGAUCCGUAGCUGGUCUGAGAGGAUGAUCAGCCACACUGGAACUGAGACACGGUCCAGACUCCUACGGGAGGCAGCAGUGGGGAAUAUUGGACAAUGGGCGCAAGCCUGAUCCAGCCAUACCGCGUGGGUGAAGAAGGCCUUCGGGUUGUAAAGCCCUUUUGUUGGGAAAGAAAAGCAGCAGGUUAAUACCCCGCUGUUCUGACGGUACCCAAAGAAUAAGCACCGGCUAACUUCGUG
rnacentral:rRNA from 1 species